CAAAUGUACAAAAUCACAGCAGAUCUACACCAAGGCACAUUGUAAUGAAAAUGACUAGCAUACCGAAUAAAGAGAGAAUUUUAAAAGCCACAAGAGAAAGGAAUCAGAUUAUAUAUAUGGGGAAACCAAUUAGGAUAUAUGCAGAUAUUUCAACCCAGACACUGAAAGCUAGAAGAUCCUGGAACAAUAUAUACCAAGCUCUGAAAGAAAAUGGAUGCCAACCAAGAAUAUUAUAUCCAGCAAAAUUAAGCUUUAGAUUUGAUGAUGAAAUAAAAAUCUUCCAUGAUAAACAAAAGUUUAAAAAAUUUUAAAGCUAGAAAGCCUGCAUUACAGAACAUCUUCGGCAAAAUAUUCCAUGAGGAGGAAAUGAAAAACAACAAUGAAAAUCAGCAAAGUGAAGUAUUACAUUAAACUUUUCUUAAUGCCAGAGUCUUCCCUCCUCCUGUUAUGUUAGUAAGCUUCUAACAGUUUUAGCUCAGUAUCACCUUGUGAACUCUUUUUUCCCCCCAUAGGAGACAAAAAUUUCUUAUUUCUGUAGUAGCACUUUUUGUUUGUUUUGUUUUUGUACCAGGGAUUGAAUUUAGGGGCAUGUAACCACUGAGCCAUAUCCCU
rnacentral:lncRNA from 1 species